UGACCUGGCUCAGAACGAACGCUGGCGGCAGGCCUAACACAUGCAAGUCGAGCGCGCCUUCGGGUGAGCGGCGGACGGGUUAGUAACGCGUGGGAACGUGCCCUUCUCUACGGGAUAGCCUCUGGAAACGGAGAGUAAUACCGUAUACGCCCUUUGGGGGAAAGAUUUAUCGGAGAAGGAUCGGCCCGCGUUAGAUUAGGUAGUUGGUGGGGUAACGGCCUACCAAGCCUACGAUCUAUAGCUGGUUUUAGAGGAUGAUCAGCAACACUGGGACUGAGACACGGCCCAGACUCCUACGGGAGGCAGCAGUGGGGAAUCUUAGACAAUGGGGGCAACCCUGAUCUAGCCAUGCCGCGUGAGUGAUGAAGGCCUUAGGGUCGUAAAGCUCUUUCGCCUGUGAUGAUAAUGACAGUAGCAGGUAAAGAAACCCCGGCUAACUCCGUGCCAGCAGCCGCGGUAAUACGGAGGGGGUUAGCGUUGUUCGGAAUUACUGGGCGUAAAGCGCGCGUAGGCGGAUUAGAAAGUUGGGGGUGAAAUCCCGGGGCUCAACCCCGGAACUGCCUCCAAAACUGCUAGUCUAGAGUUCGAGAGAGGUGAGUGGAAUUCCGAGUGUAGAGGUGAAAUUCGUAGAUAUUCGGAGGAACACCAGUGGCGAAGGCGGCUCACUGGCUCGAUACUGACGUUGAGGUGCGAAAGUGUGGGGAGCAAACAGGAUUAGAUACCCUGGUAGU
rnacentral:rRNA from 1 species